rnacentral:rRNA from 1 species
AUUGAACGCUGGCGGCAGGCUUAACACAUGCAAGUCGAGCGGAGAUGAGGUGCUUGCACCUUAUCUUAGCGGCGGACGGGCGAGUAAUGCUUAGGAAUCUGCCUAUUAGUGGGGGACAACAUUCCGAAAGGAAUGCUAAUACCGCAUACGUCCUACGGGAGAAAGCAGGGGAUCUUCGGACCUUGCGCUAAUAGAUGAGCCUAAGUCGGAUUAGCUAGUUGGUGGGGUAAAGGCCUACCAAGGCGACGAUCUGUAGCGGGUCUGAGAGGAUGGUCCGCCACACUGGGACUGAGACACGGCCCAGACUCCUACGGGAGGCAGCAGUGGGGAAUAUUGGACAAUGGGGGGAACCCUGAUCCAGCCAUGCCGCGUGUGUGAAGAAGGCCUUAUGGUUGUAAAGCACUUUAAGCGAGGAGGAGGCUACUGAGACUAAUACCCUUGGAUAGUGGACGUUACUCGCAGAAUAAGCACCGGCUAACUCUGUGCCAGCCGCCGCCGUAAGAC